rnacentral:rRNA from 1 species
AGAGUUUGAUCCUGGCUCAGGACGAACGCUGGCGGCGCGCCUAACACAUGCAAGUCGAACGGAGCUUAUAGAGCUUGCUUUUUAAGCUUAGUGGCGAACGGGUGAGUAACGCGUGAGUAACCUGCCCUAGAGUGGGGGACAACAGUUGGAAACGACUGCUAAUACCGCAUAAGCCCACGGUACCGCAUGGCACUGAGGGAAAAGGAUUUAUUCGCUUUAGGAUGGACUCGCGUCCAAUUAGCUAGUUGGUGAGGUAACGGCCCACCAAGGCGACGAUUGGUAGCCGGACUGAGAGGUUGAACGCCCACAUUGGGACUGAGACACGGCCCAGACUCCUACGGGAGGCAGCAGUGGGGGAUAUUGCACAAUGGGGGAAACCCUGAUGCAGCGACGCCGCGUGGAGGAAGAAGGUUUUCGGAUUGUAAACUCCUGUCGUUAGGGACGAUAAUGACGGUACCUAACAAGAAAGCACCGGCUAACUACGUGCCAGCAGCCGCGGUAAAACGUAGGGUGCAAGCGUUGUCCGGAAUUACUGGGUGUAAAGGGAGCGCAGGCGGGAAGACAAGUUGGAAGUGAAAACCAUGGGCUCAACCCAUGAAUUGCUUUCAAAACUGUUUUUCUUGAGUAGUGCAGAGGUAGAUGGAAUUCCCGGUGUAGCGGUGGAAUGCGUAGAUAUCGGGAGGAACACCAGUGGCGAAGGCGGUCUACUGGGCACCAACUGACGCUGAGGCUCGAAAGCAUGGGUAGCAAACAGGAUUAGAUACCCUGGUAGUCCAUGCCGUAAACGAUGAUUACUAGGUG